rnacentral:rRNA from 1 species
UGCCAGACUCCUACGGGAGGCAGCAGUGGGGAAUAUUGCACAAUGGGGGGAACCCUGAUGCAGCGACGCCGCGUGGGUGAAGAAGUCAUUCGUGACGUAAAGCCCUAUCAGCAGGGAAGAAAAUGACGGUACCUGACUAAGAAGCCCCGGCUAACUACGUGCCAGCAGCCGCGGUAAUACGUAGGUGGCAAGCGUUGUCCGGAUUUACUGGGUGUAAGGGCGUGUAGCCGGGCUGACAAGUCAGAUGUGAAAUCCGGGGGCUCAACCCCCGAACUGCAUUUGAAACUGUUGGUCUUGAGUAUCGGAGAGGCAGGCGGAAUUCCUAGUGUAGCGGUGAAAUGCGUAGAUAUUAGGAGGAACACCAGUGGCGAAGGCGGCCUGCUGGACGACAACUGACGGUGAGGCGCGAAAGCGUGGGGAGCAAACAGGAUUAGAUACCCCCGUAA